rnacentral:rRNA from 1 species
GGCGGCUCGAGUGGUAACCGUUAUUAUUGGGUCUAAAGGGUCUGUAGCCGGCCGGAUAAGUCUCUUGAGAAAUCUGGCAGCUUAACUGUCAGGCUUUCAGGAGAUACUGUCUGGCUCGAGGCCGGGAGAGGUGAGAGGUACUUCAGGGGUAGGGGUGAAAUCUUGUAAUCCUUGAAGGACCACCAGUGGCGAAGGCGUCUCACCAGAACGGACCUGACGGCAAGGGACGAAAGCUAGGGGCACGAACCGGAUUAGAUACCCGGGUAGUCCUAGCCGUAAACGAUACUCGCUAGGUGUCGGCCACGGUGCGACCGUUGUCGGUGCCGUAGGGAAGCCGUGAAGCGAGCCACCUGGGAAGUACGGCCGCAAGGCUGAAACUUAAAGGAAUUGGCGGGGGAGCACCACAACGGGUGGAGCUUGCGGUUUAAUUGGAUUCAACGCCGGAAAUCUUACCGGGACCGACAGCAAUAUGAAGGCCAGGCUGAAGACUUUGCCGGAUUAGCUGAGAGGUGGUGCAUGGCCGUCGUCAGUUCGUACUGUGAAGCAUCCUGUUAAGUCAGGCAACGAGCGAGACCCACGCCCACAGUUGCCAGCGUACUCUCUGGAGUGACGGGUACACUGUGGGGACCGCCGCUGCUAAAGCGGAGGAAGGAAUGGGCAACGGUAGGUCAGUAUGCCCCGAAUAUCCCGGGCUACACGCGAGCUACAAUGGUUGGUACAAUGGGUAUCUACCCCGAAAGGGGACGGGAAUCUCCUAAAACCAAUCUUAGUUCGGAUUGAGGGCUGCAACUCGCCCUCAUGAAGCUGGAAUCCGUAGUAAUCGCAUUUCAACAGAACGCGGUGAAUACGUCCCUGCUCCUU